GACGAACGCUGGCGGCGUGCUUAACACAUGCAAGUCGAGCGGUAAGGCCCUUUCGGGGGUACACGAGCGGCGAACGGGUGAGUAACACGUGGGUGACCUGCCCUUAGCUCUGGGAUAAGCCUGGGAAACUGGGUCUAAUACCGGAUAUGACUCCAUGACGCAUGUUGUGGGGUGGAAAGCCUUGUGCGGCUAGGGAUGGGCCUGCGGCCUAUCAGCUUGUUGGUGGGGUNAUGGCCUACCAAGGCGACGACGGGUAGCCGGCCUGAGAGGGCGACCGGCCACACUGGGACUGAGACACGGCCCAGACUCCUACGGGAGGCAGCAGUGGGGAAUCUUGCGCAAUGGGCGAAAGCCUGACGCAGCGACGCCGCGUGGGGAUGACGGCCU
rnacentral:rRNA from 1 species